GAUGAAGAACGUAGUGAAACGCGAAAUGUAAUGUGAAUUGCAGAAACCCAGUGAAUCAUCGAAUCUUUGAACGCACCUUGCGCCCCCUGGUAUUCCGGGGGGCAUGCCUGUUUGAGUGUCGCGCACCUCUCAACCCCCGCUCUGCCUUACACGCGGCGCGCGCGGGCUUGGACCGUGGCUGCCUUUGGUCGCUCGCGAGAGCGGCCCAGCCGAAAUGCACACCAAGCGGAUGUCCGUUCCUUUCGGGACUGCGGCUUGACCGAGUGUUGUAGUGUCGUACAAAGCACAUUCGGGACGCGGACUUGCGAAGGCGGCUCUGCGCCGGACCUAGCGAUAACUAUUGUCAUCGACCUCAAAUCAGGCAGGACUACCCGCUGAACUUAAGCAUAUCAAUAAGCGGAGGA
rnacentral:misc_RNA from 1 species